CUGCAGACCCCCGGCUUACUCAAUAAUUAAUGCGCAUGGCUCCUGCUGUCUACGGAUCUCAAGCCCUCCACGGCAAAUUAGCUCGGCUGCCUCUGGUCAGCCGUGACAACUCCCUGGCCCCGGCCUAACCUCCUACGGCAAGACAUUAAUGCACACGAUCCUGCAUUGAUCCAGCCGACAUGCUCAAUCAUACGGUAAACUCCGCCCUGUCACAUCACAGGUAAUCCAAGGCCCCUCU
rnacentral:lncRNA from 1 species